rnacentral:tRNA from 1 species
GGAGCGGUAGUUCAGCUGGUUAGAGUGCUGGCCUGUCACGCCGGAGGUCGCGGGUUCGAGUCCCGUCCGCUCCGCCA